AUGUCAAAUGAUUCUACCUCUCAGUUCCUUCAACUCUUCUCAUCCCACCCCUCCCAACUCAAUCCUCCUCCGGCGCAAGCUCCACAAGCACUCAAUCCCUCCUUUCGCUUUGCCCCGCCCCGUCCGCCAUUUUUCCGGGACACACCGCCACACCCCUUCUCCUGGCUCCGAGAGGGAGGGGAGCGGGGCGAGGGUGCAGUAAAAGCAGGAUGGGACGCUGCAAGGGGGAUUCCUGCCAAACAAUCUAGUGUUCCCCUCCUAGGAGCACCCGUCUUUCACUCCCCAGCCCCUAGGCUUAGCAUUAGCUUGCAGAAGAGGGGCCUCAAUGUGUGCCUUUUCGAGUUCAGGGUCGUCAUUUUCCCCGAUGUCUCUGCUAUGGGCUCUACCUCCCACUUCCCAACCAAAUCCCGCCAACAACCGCCAUUUCUCCCGCCUGCAUACCCGAAUUCCUUUUCCAGGACUGAAAAGACGGGGGUGAACAGCUGUGUGGGCCGGAGGUGUCUGGAAAGCAGUCUGCGAGUUAACAAGGUUUUCAGAGGUAACCCACUGAUGCAUGGAAAGGAUUGCUGUUCCUAUCUGACCCUGCAGCUGAGGAUUUGUGAAGCCUGAAGAAGUGAUUGUUGAGGGAAGCUCCCAGGCCUGACUGCUGUCUAUCCUUAUUCGUGGUUACCAGUGAACGUUGCUCCAAACACUGUGUGCUACUACCACCUGGCCUAAGAGAUGCAGCCUCCUAGGCCUCUCACCUCUGGCCUCCUUAGCUCCAGGGCACCCAGGAGGAAUCUAGCCUUGCUGAAAGGUUACUGCCUGUCAGUACACAUCUGCCUUGGCGCCCUGUCAAUGAAAUGUAUGCCCAGGGAACAAUGAACCCAUAGUAGGUAUUCUCACCUGCUCAUCUCUGUGGACCACCUGAAAUUGUAUUCACCUGCAAAGUUUUGUUUGGGAUUAUAUAUGUGGUUAAAUGCGUUUUUUUUUUUUCAGGAACAGAGAUCAUUGACCUCAUCAGUUUCUCAAGGGGUCUGUAACUCAUACCCCAAAAUUAAGCACUAAUACAAUGGCCAAGAGAGUCUGUGUUAUAUAUAUAAUAGUCCAGAUUAGGAAUUUUUCAUAUUGUUCUGGUAAUACAAGUAAUAUAUACUAUUGGUUAAAAAUAUUCAAAACAAUGAAAUAUAUAAAGUAUACAGGGAAAGAACCUUGUUUUAUCUUUUCCACUCCCAGCCACUGUCAACAGUUUUAAACUUUCUUUUUAUACACAUAUUAGUAAGUGCACUCAUGCCUAUUAAUCAAGUUCCAAAUUUUUGCGAUCUGUCUUAUUAAUUCUAAUUUAAGGUGGUACCUUUGGUUUAUGUAGGUACUAUAUAUAAUCAUUUGUAAAUGAUUUUUCAUUUCUUCCUUUCCAGCAUUUAUGCCCCCUUUUCUUUCUUUUUCUGUAUGAGUAAUUCUGGGUUAAAUUAGACAUAAAAGAAAAUAUCCUUAACUUGAUGAAGAAUAUAUCAGAAGCUCUUCUGAUCUGGCAGAUUUGUCCUUCCCUGUGGUCUACGAAGAUCACAGAACUUAAUGACUGGCAUUGACUAGAAUGUCCUUAAGAGCCUCCUGAUCUUGUUCUUGAAGUCAAUGGGAAUGCCUCUUUUGUUUCAUUAUUUAAUAUAACUUUUGUUUGUGACUGAUAUAUUCUCUUUUUUUUCAAGGCUAAUUUCACUUAUGUUUGCCAAUCUCUCUCUCUUUCUCUCUCUCUCUCUGUUGUGUGCACAGGAGCAUGCGUUCCCCCCCUCCCCCGCACCCACACGCGUAGUACCAAUAAAUACUGUCAGUGAAUGGAGGCA
rnacentral:lncRNA from 13 species